rnacentral:pre_miRNA from 1 species
AUUAAGUUUAUUUCUCAGUUUUUUAGAUAUAAUAUUUUGACUCUUUAUCUUAUUUGAAUUUUUUUUGCGAUUAAAAUUUUUAUUGUUACUAGAUGGUAAAACAUGAAAAGUAUUUUAUAUGUGAAUAAUUUUUAAAAAAGUUUUUACAAAUUUUUUAAAUAAGACAAAUGGUCAAACGUUGAACACAGAAAUCGAAAAAUAAAGUUAUU